rnacentral:rRNA from 1 species
UACGGAGGAUCCUAGUGUUAUCCGGAUUUAUUGGUUUUAAAGGGAGCGUAGGCGGGAGGUCAAGUCAGCUGUGAAAUGUAUCUGCUUAACGGGUACACUGCAGUUGAAACUGGUUUUCUUGAGUGCGUAAGAGGCAGGCGGAAUUCGUUGUGUAGCGGUGAAAUGCUUAGAUAUGACUAGGAACUCCUAUUGCGAAGGCAGCUUGCUGGGUCGUUACUGACGCUGAUGCUCGAAGGUGCGGGGAUCAAACAGGAUUAGAUA